ensembl:lncRNA novel transcript, antisense to HEXA and CELF6
GGUUAAUGUGCUAAGAGGAUAUGAGAUUGAAGCUGCUGGCACCCAGCUCUCCCUGCCACAGGGCAGAGAAUGGGGCCAAGGCAUAAAGAGAAGCAGAGCUCUGAGAAAUGGAAUGAGAGAGACCUGAUGACAUUGUUUGAGCCCCUGAGAUGAGCCUUGCCUGAGGGGUUCCCCAGCCCUGGAUCUGGCCUGCUCCGCCUUGCGAAGGCCCCACAGCUUGCUUACCUCAGCAAUUCACAGCGGAAGUGUGACAAACGUUCAUAGGCAAAUGUCAGGUCAGAUGUCAACUUGUUGCUCCACAGCCUUUCGGCAACAGCCCCUGCUCUGGGCCUGGAGGAAAAGGGGCAUGUGCCAGAUUGGGCCCUGUAUUCCCUGCAAAGGUGCUGGACAUCCACAGGCUGCUACCUCUUGUCUAGGCACCCUGGACUCACUCAGGCCAAAGGAAGUGAUCAAUACCUUGUUAUGAGCCACAGCCAGGUUGGAUGGCUCCCAGAGAGUUCUACGGCUCAGCUCCACCUUCAUUAAAAUGUGGGUAGCAAUCCCACUCUCUUCCUCUCUCAAAGAUAUGGGAAUAAGAAUAAACCUUAAAGCCAUCAUUAACCACAAUGACAGUGGCAGCAGCAGAGGUCCUUAAAAUGUAAACUUUGCACACCCAACCAUACUUGGUAAGGCUGCAGUGAAAACAGCAGAGGGAAGCCUUAUUACAGGAAUCAUGGAUGCUUGUGCUGGGUCUUGAGCAACUCACCUAUGUUCUCCAGGCCUCAUUAUCUCUCUGGGAAGUAAGGUUAACAAUCCCUAUCCCACAUACCAAAGGGCAGCUGGAGGGAUAUAGACGGAAGUCAUGUGGAGAGUGAAUAUUGCACACAAAUCUUCAGAAGGCUCGUUGCACGGCCUGCUCUCUCUCAGGCCUGAAAGAAGGGUACUAGUCCAGAGGUGGCUAGAUGGGAUUGGGUCUCUAAGGGAGAACUCCUGCUCUCAGGCCCAACCCUCCACCUCCCCCCCGAAAACCCUUACCAGAGCCUGGGGACCAGGUUUGUGUUGUCCACAUAUUCUCCCCACAUACAAGCCUCUCCACCAAUCACCAGAGCCUUCUGCUCAGGGGUACCUGAGGGAAAACAAGCAACAACAGUCUGGUGAUGGUGGGGUAACUCCAGGGUCCCUCUCAACCACCUUCCCAAUGUGGCCCUCACCCCAGCUAAGUUGUUUCAUUUACUAACUGGAAAUGUCUGGCCCAGACCUUCCUGCCUCCCAUCCUGUGCCCCAACCCAGCCUCCUUUGGUUAGCAAGGAGAGCUCUCUGCUUUCACCUUCAAAUGCCAGGGGUUCCACUAUGUAGAAAUCCUUCCAGUCAGGGCCAUAGGAUAUACGGUUCAGGUACCAGGGGGCAGAGAGAAGGGCCCGGAAGCCGGCCUUGGUGACCAGUUCCAGCUCCUUCAUAUAGUUCACUGGAAUAUCCUCUCGCCACACCUGUAUGAUUGUGUCUGGCUGAAUCUGUUAUAAAAGGUCAAAUGGCAGUAAGGACACAAAGCUGAGGAGAUUCCUGGGCCUUAUUCAUACACAGGCAACAUGGGACAACAGAUUCUACCCUGGUGGUCAGAUUCCUCAGCAUCCACUCUAGGCACAACUACCUGCAACGGCAUCUGAGAAAAAUGUGCCCUUACAUAGUCUAACAGUACAUAUUUUAAUAGUAAGAAGCAGCCUCCAUUGUCCAAAGUGAGUUCUUCCUAUCUAAAUUCCCAGGUGGAAGAAGUCGAUGGAAAACAUUCUUCUAAGGACCAAGGCUGGGAUAUGCCACUUCCAUGAGCCAGUGCCCUGAAGCUUCACUCUGAGCAUAACAAGCAGAGUCCCUCUGGUCCCAGACAUCAUUCUUACCUGGUCCCCAGGACAAAGUGUGGCCAGGAGUGUCAAACUCUGCAAGCACACGGAUACCCCGGAGCCGUGCGUAUUCAAUGACCUCCUUCACAUCCUGUGCUGUGUAGAUGUGGGUGACAGGGUUGUAGGACCCCUGAAAGGCACAAGACACCCUUCAGGUUCACACUUCCUGAAAGCUAGCAGAGUAGAAGAUACUCAAAAUGCCCACAAGACUCCCCAGAUAUCAGAAAACCUGCCCAUAGCCCUUUGGUGUCAGGGACUAUCUUCAAAAAACUUGAUCAUAAUUUCCCAGAAGUUAUCACAUCUGUUUUAUCUGAGUAUCAUAAUGCCAGUGAGAUAAUCAUGGUAGGUAUUAAUACUAUGUCCAUUUAACAGAAUAUAAAUACAUAAAAAGGGAAUAAGGCCAGAAGAGAUUCUCUCCUGAAGGUCACAAGGCAAAUUAUCGGCAAAGUUUUGGACUUGAACUCAAGUCUCCUGACUCCAAAUCCAGUGUCCUUCCCCUAUAUUGGUCUAAAACUGGCUGGUUAGGAUGAGAGACCCUGUUCUUGCCAGCAGGGCCACAGCCAGAUUCAGACAUUGACCCAUAAACUUGGUCUGAGUGAAACGGGAACAUACCUUUCUCAUGAGCUCUGGAAAAGUGAAGCUCUCAUAUGGGAAGGAAGGAUCAUCUACCAGAUGCCAGUGGAACACGUUCAAUUUAUUGUACGCCAUGACAUCCUGUAGGUUAAAGUGCACACUGUGAACCCAUCACAGUCUCUCCGGUUUCAGCCUCAAACUUGCGAUGUUGGGCGAGCUCUCAGGCCGCUCCACACACCCCUACAGGCUUGACCUGCCUCAGCUCUCAAUUAAGUAUUUAUGGGGUCUAUCAAACCUUCCCAUCAGGGAGGGAUGGCAUGGAGGGAAGGCCCAGCACACUUCUACUUUUCCCAGAACACAUCCAAAGAUGGAUGAUAGAAGUGGUCUUUCCUCUUCUUGAAAUAAAUUCUGGCCACAUUAAGAGGAGGGCUGCAGCUACUGUGGUAGCCUGGAAUCUUCCAAAAGCCUGAAGAUCAAUACUUCCUCUUGCCAUUUGUGUUCGGUUGUCUGACUGAUGUUAAGCCCAACUGUGAGACCUCCUGGGAACUUAGUAGCCUCUUAACUCAUAAUCUCAGAAGCAAAGGCUGGCAGAUGUGUGGCCUCCUUUGGUUCCGUCACAGGAGCAAAGGAAAAGGCAGACACAGGAACUGGAUUGGGAACUGUCAGAUAAGACUGCACAUUAAACUCAAGAGAGUUAGGAA